AUUCAAUCAAAGGGAUUUUGGAUGACAGCGGCAAUUGGUGUAUGGUGUACAAUUUUUGGUGACUAUUUCCAAAGCCUAUUUCAAACAAAUGGCUCGGCUGAACUCUCUGACAUCAUUGAGGUGGUACGGCCAACAGUCAUGUUGGAGCAGAAUGAGAGUCUAAACGGUCCCUUCUCAAGGGAUGAGAUUGAAGGUGCUUUGAGUCAAAUGUUUCCUACUAAAUUGCCGAGGGUAGAU
rnacentral:lncRNA from 1 species